AAGCGGUUCAAAUUGCGAUGCCGUUUGCAUGAAAACAAAAACGCAGUUUAUAUUGUUUACGCUGUAAUUUUAUUGAACAAAAUCUACUCCGGCUUGUGUUUUACUGUUAAUUUGUGCUGUAAAUAUGCCUCCGAAAAAAAUCACCAAUCAGCAGCAGUCAGUGAAGGUUCUCAUCGAUCGGAUCAACGUGCUGGGAGAGAAUUUCCGUUCCCGAUCGAAAGCCGUUACGGCGAUCAAACGACCAGCUGCUCCACCGGAUCCGCCGAGCCCGCCCAAAACGGUUCGCUUUGUCGAACCGACCAUUCCCGAACCUCCAAGGAUUGUGUCGGACGAUCCGGCGGACAAUCCGUACGCGCAGGAGAUUUUCAUGUUCAAAACCAACGUGCACGAUGUGACGACGCGGAUCGUGCUGGAGCGGGACGGCGAAGAGGGCAUGGACAAGAAGGUUCGCUCGUUCAAGCGGAAGCUUUACCGGAUGUUCGCCACGGAGCCGAAAAACCGGAUCCGGUACCCGUUGGAUCGGGUGCGCUUCGAGAGCCCUUACUACGAGUAUCGGUUCUUCUUGGCGCUGCACAAACCGCUGCACAGCGACGACGAGUAUCAGGAAUACAAGCGGCAGCUGGCUACUGCUGGGGUAAACGAGAGCUGGGUUCAAAUGAGGAAGAACAACCGGCUGCUGAUGUACGAGGACAGGAUUGUACAUAAGUUAAAAAGCAAAUUCAAGGAGUGGAGUUUGAAGUUGGACAAGUUGGACGUCUAUUUGAUGGAUAUGCAUGCAAGACAACCCGGAUCUUCAGCGACAAAGCUCAAUGAAGCACCAAGCGAAACAUCGAUAGCGUCCAGACUAACAGAUACGGAAUGUGAAGACAACUUAUUGGAACAGUUACUGAAGCACUCGAACGCCAAACAAAGAUUCACUAGUCAUCAAAUUCAAAAGUUGUUUCCACACAUCCAGAGAAGCUUGCAGCAGUCGAAUGACUUCCAGUGGCUGGAAUUCGAGGACGAUGAACUGAACAAGCGCUUCAGGCUCGGGAGCUACGCGACAAACAUCACCUCGCAAGAAACGGUUCAGGAAGAGGAGAUUGUUGAUGUUGCUCCGCUGGAAAGUGCCGCUUCCACCAGCAAUAGUAGUCGCCCGGGCAGUGCGGCGUCCGGAGAUUCAGAACUCGCUCAAAUGCGCUCGGAAAUGGCCAUGACGCAGCCACGCGAGCUGACACAACUGGAGAGCUCCCGGUUCGUAGAUACGCAAGCUCUGGUGAACGUCCUGGAGCAGCAGGAUCCGAAGGUUAUUGUUGAAAUGGUUCCGCAGCGAUUAGAUGCAGUUACGGUCGAGGAGCUUCCGGUAGUUACUGAAGAACUUCUGCCCGAACUCUCCCCGAUGAUCACUCCGGCUCAAGCCGAAGUCAUUGAGGUAUCGGAUUCCCCAGUGCGCGAGGAUGACGAGGUUCAAAUCAAGGAGGAAUUCCUCUACACUUUGGAUUACAUCCGCCAGUUCACCAACAUUGAGCAGUACAUGAGCCGCGAGCUCAAGCAAAAGUUUCCCAAAACCUACGAAAAGAAGUUGACCAAGCUGAACCAGUACGUAGAGCGAUACUACAAAAGUGCUGAACAUCUCUUUCUCAAAAACACGCUGCCUCCAGGUUUGAGGCUUUUGUCGCGAAAAGAAAGAAAAGAACGCCAAGCGAAAACUGAUCAGCAGCCGAACACCUCUGAAAUCUCUCCAGCAGUCGUGGAAGUUCCACCGCCUACCACCGUUCCUACGGAGAUAAGUCCCAUAACGGACACCCCUCUAGUCCCAAGAAUUCCCCGUAAAGCCAGGCUAAUCGUCUACGAGGAAGAUGAUGACGAUGUUCGGCCGCCAACCGCACCCAAUGUAGCGCUCCUUCCAGAAACACUGCCAAUGCCCAAUUCGGAAGAUUUUCUGCCUCCAGUGUGCUCCACCCAGAUACCGGGGGAGUGUCUUGCUUCACCACCUCGUCGGAGGGACACGCCGUUCAGCUCUCCGUCUGCUUCAAGGGUACUUCCUGGACCAUCACAGACCGACAAUCCAAUAUGUUUGCCACCAACAACCACAGCACGCCUUCAAAUGCCGAGUUUGCAAAACUUCAGUCCUUCAAUAUCCUCUACACAACAUCCAACUGAACCAGGUGAUGCGCUACCACCAAACCGACAAGACACUCCCACAAAUUCUGCUCUUCGGCCGCCUAGUUCUUCAUCUCGCGUUCCAACGCCCGCUUUCGACUCGAGCAGCUUGAAUGCAACGGUAAUCGUCAAUCCAAAAUCCCCUCAGAAACAACCCGUUUCGAUCAAACGUGAACUCAACAGCAGUUCCUACGAGGGUGAGGUCGAAUUUGUCGAUAUCCCGCGCAACAGUACCAUCCUGAUCGAGGACUCCAUCAAUGAGAGUGAGAGGUUUCCGGGGGCGCUUCUCGAGCGACAACCCAGCUGCAUGGCGGCCAUUCCGGACAAUCUGCGGGGUAUGGUGAGCACACUGUUCCGGGAGAAUCAGGAUACGACCCUGUCGCAGGGAAGUGGCGCCAGUAAUGGAAGUGGUGAUGCGCCAGUUGAUAGCCAAGUGACCCGAACGUCGUCGAUGGGGUUUCAUCAAACGUUGGGUAAUUUGGAUACUAUGUGUUAUAAACAAUAAAUUUGACUAUUUCUUUUCGAUUUUUCUCUUGCAGCCUCCACGCAGAUCAAUUGAAAAUAACACCAAGUUCCAAGCGUAACAAAUCUGAAUCUCAUUUUGAUAAUCCCUGGAAACCACCAGUCCCGCCUAUCUCUUCGCAACCAUUCCGAUUGGUAUCCAAUCCCUUCCAUCAACCUUCUAUUCCUCCCGCAGCAUGCACCACCCUUCGCUUCCUCACCCGAACGGAGCUGGUCUCAGUUAAGUUCUUUCGUCAUCCUUCCGCUUACCAUCAGCGUCAUCACCUGACCGUGACGCUGAACCAUCGUCUGGACGGUAUCGCCCGGCUCACCAUCACCGAUCACGAAGUGCGCAAGCUUCUGAACCUCAGCCGGGGAGAUCGCGGUUGGCAGGCCCUCGUGUCCACCCUGAAUCGCGUCAACCGUUUCGAGUACGACCGCUUCCGGCCGGCAAGCCCGUACCAAUUCCAACAGAUGAGUAUUAGUGAGAAAAUUUUGUACCUAUUUUUUGCCACGUUCCCGGAGUGUCCCUCACGGGGACCGGGCUGGAUGGCGCGGUUCGAUGAUUUGAGGAACUACUGCGACGGAGACGGAGUUCGUUUGGAGGAGUUCAACUGUUACGGGCACAGCUAUGGCGGCGAAGGGAGCCAUCGUGCGGAACCAGGUAAGAUUGAUUUGAGUGAAGGAAUGGAUUCCGAUAUUGUACAAAGAAUGCGGGAGAUGAAAUCGAAAGCCAUGGGCAAUGUUUGCACGAAAUUUAAUAUAAAUCGUUGACGAUGAGAA